GAUUUGGAGAAAUCAUACGAUAUUUUAUUGGAACGACAGAGAGAGACAAGCAUGGCUCCGGCGCAAGGGUGACGUGUAAAAUCGUGAAGCGCUCCACAUCUUU
rnacentral:snRNA from 1 species